AAAGUGAGAUGAGCGCUGCAACCCCAGAGUUGUUUGCGACUGGACUUAACUGUCAGGGGUCUCUUUACCUUUACCUACCUAUGAGCUAACCUCAAAUUAAUUUGAAAAGGUUUUUUUUUGUCUCUUUAUUUUGAUACCAAAUUAAGCCCAAUUGGUUGAAAAAUAAGUGAAUCAGGAGCUGUGUUUUUCCCCCUAAACUGGUGCAGAAAUUGCAUUAGCCUAAAUGGUGUGAAAAUUGAAAUUUUGAAAAAUUUCUCCUGCGCCCAAUUUCGGACCCAAAAAUCUAAAAAAAAAAUCUCAUAGGUAUCUAGACAUAAUUAUUAUUAUUUUGAAGAAAAUCUGAGUUGUGAGAGCACAUGGCACCAGGUGAUUUGGCGUGGAAUGACCCCUACUUACAACUUUGGAGAAAGCACGUCUCUGAAUACCUGUUCCUGGUAUCACAGGUGAGGAGAGUGCGGUUGGGCUCCAGAUCUUAUUGUGAGAUUCCCAUGGGCAUCUGAUUGGCCACAGAGGACAGUGUUGUGGACUAGCCAUGUUACACUUAGCCAUGUGUCUAUACCUCUUAUGUAUCUGUUCCACCUUGUAACCUGCGUAUUGCCUUUGUAUCCCUUUGAAUUAUGCAUUAAAGACUUUGGCAGAAACCAGCCUGGGAGUUAGAGCCCUUUAUCUAGGGCCAAGACACUGGCAUAGUAAAAUAAGGUGCUCUUAGUGCUAUUUUACUAGGAAAAGUGGUGCAGGGAUUCACCAUGAACCCUUCUUGUAAUGGCAAUGAUGCCCCCCUGAGAGGUGCCAGAGCUGAGUUCCGGAGAGUUCCAGCUGAAAACAAGCCCUGGGUGUUCUUGUUAUUAGAUAAAAAAAAAUGUUAUGGCUCUGCACAGCCACAGAGAGAGCUUAGUGUUGAUGCUAGCUGCAUGGCCUAUGUUCCUUUCAUCAUUUCAAAGAUUUUGUUUCCCCCCACUUGCUCUCUUGGUGGGAGGAUUGGCAAAUACAAAAUCUUAUUACUUAAGUGCUUCCAUUUAUUCAUUUCUUCAGAAAACAAUUUCCCUCAGCACCACAGCUGACAGUUCAGCAGCCCCACGCUUCCUCGGGGCCCAGCAAUGGCAAUCUAUUUUAAUUAUUUUAAAAUAUUUAUAGCUUCGCUCCUAUCUCUGAGCUCUCAUUAACAGUGUUGGGAACCUCUUCCAUUAGACGCUGUCAUUAUGCAGAGAUUUAUUUUUGUGUCAUAGCCUGAGCUUGUGUUUCAAAACUAAGCUCUCUCCCUCCACCUUGGCUCAGGCUUCAGAACGAAUGGAAAGGCCAAUGGUUUUGUGGAAACUGCUCCUUCCGCCAUUUCAGACCCUCCAAGUGUCCCUAUUUUCCAGGGACGGUCCCAGAUUUACAGAAGCCACCCAAAUUUGAUCCCAAAAUGUCCCCAUCAGAGAAAUGUUGGAGGGUAGGGCAUUCACAGUAAAGACCUGAGAUCUGAUCCUCCAAAUGGCCUCACAGUAACAAACAUAAUUUAAAUUUAUCUGUCCAUUAAAAUAUAUGUGUAUAUUCCAUCCUGCUUCUGUGAGGCACGUUCUUCACACAAGAUAGUAUUCUACAAUUCUCUCGCAGGCCUGGUCAGUUACAUUUGCUGCUUUUCAGAGAAACAUCUGUCAGCUUUCAUCUCGUUUCCCUCAAGCUUGCUACUGUUAAUAAUUUAUCGCCUAUUUAUUAUCAGCAUUUGAAUGUGCGGGUCUCCCGUUUGAUUACGAAUAAGGAAACAACGAGAAGGUGGGGGACGUGACACUUUUGAUCCUGAGGGGAAAUUAACGUUAAGGGCAGACUUGUGACAGAAAGAAAAAGUAAGAGGGGGAAGAUCAGAAUCGUCUGUUGGGGUAAAAUAAUGCUGUAAAACAAUCAAGCAGUAUAUAGAUUUUAGGAAAUAAAUAAAUCUUCUCUCUCCAGACUCAAAUACUUUGGUGAGCAUAGGGGAAACCUUCUUUCUGCUUCAGUCAUUGGUAAGUGUCAAGGCUGUGUCACCUUCUUAUGACACCCAUACAUUACAACUGGUUUUUUUUUUAUGUUAAAGUUAGGCCAUUGAUUUAGAUACAGUUUUCAGUAAUUUAAAAGUGGGGAAAAAUAAAUAUAUUUUUAAAUGCCUAUUUAAAUUUGUAUUGUGAGAGGAAUGCUUUUUUAAAAAUUUACAGAGCGACAUAGAAAAGGGACAGGACUGGGGGUAAAAUAUAUUUAUUUAUUUAUUGAAUUUAUAUACUGCCCUACACCCAGAGGUCUCAGGGCGGUUCACAGAACAAAAUCAAAAUAUAAAACCACAAUAUAUACAUGCAAUAAAAAUGCAAAAGUGACACAGGUUGGAAAUACUUCGCCAAACCUUUUUUAGGCAUUACAACUAGAGGCCAUCAUAAAACAUCAUAAAACAUCCAUAUAUAACAUUGUAAAAUAUAUACAAUAAACAGCCAUGUAAAAUAUAUAAUGACGAGGAUUUUCAUUGGGAUUUCUUCCCGCUAAAUAGUGCCAUUGGCUCUCUAAGGGAUACUAUUGACAAAAACCCAGCCACCCAGUUACAUCAGAUAGAAUCUGGUUAUUUUCAUUUUCCCGCAGUGUUAGACUACCCAAAAAAGGGGAUAGUAUGCGUUUGCGUAGCUGGUUCUACAAUGAACAGUAGAAAAGAAUAUGUUCUACAGUGUCCAGCACAUUCAAAGAACAUCCACAAUGUCUAUUCUUUCUGGGGAUGUUUAAAUAUCUGCCCUUGACAAAAGCUAUUUAAAUUAGAGAAAUGCUUUUCAAAAAUUUGCAGGGUGACAUAGAAAAGGGACGGAAUUGUGGGUAAAAACAUGCAAAAGUGACACAGGCGGGAAAUACAUUUGCCUGCGUCACAGAUAUCACUGCUAUAAGUAAAUUCUCCAUACUGCCUACUUGAUAUAAGCCUUUCCCCAAACAUGUACCCUCCAUUUGCUUUGGAGUCUAACUCCCAGCAUCCCUGAACAUUGGCCAUGUUGCCUGGGGAUAAUAUUUAUAAUAAUUUAUACCUUGCUCAUCUGACUGGGUUGCCCCAGCCACUCUGGGCAGCUUCCAACAUAUAUAAAAACAUAAUAAAACAUUAAACAUUUAAAAAAACUUCCCUAUACAGAGCUGCCUUCAGACGUCUUCUAAAGAUUGUAUAGUUACUUAUCUCCUUGGCUUGGGGGUUGAAUAACUCCAUACCCUCUAUAUAAGGGUCUGGUGACUUCUGUUUCAGUGUAUCUGAAGAAGUGUGCAUUUACACGAAAGCUCAUACCAAUAACAAACUUAGUUGGUCUCUAAGGUGCUACUGGAAGGAAUUUUUUUAUUUUGUUUUGACUACAGCAGACCAACACGCUACCUACCUGUAUCCAUACCCUCUGACGUUUAUCCAAUGAAAAUAGGGACGUCCUAGGGAAAGCGGGACAUUCUGGGAUCCAAUCAGAAACUGGGACAGUUUCUGUAAAUCUGGGACUGUCCCUGUAAAAUGGGGACACUUGGGAGGGUCAGGGACUACACCAGGGGUCGGCAAUGUACGGCCCAUGGGCCGGAUAUGGCCCAAGAAGAUUGUUUUACCGGACCAUGAGUUGCCUGCAAACCGAGCUGCCCGCACAGCGAGUCCCCCGUGUGCUGUACUAAACCGGCUCAGCGUGCCACAGGAACUCGCCGAGCGGCGCCGGAAAUCACAUCUGCGCAUAUGCAGAUACUGGAAAUCACUUCUGUGCAUGUCCAGAGGCCAAAAAUCAUGUCUGCACUGGCGUAUGGGCAUGCGCAGAAGCAAUUUCCGGCACCGCGGACAUGCGCAGACGCGACUUCCGGCGUCACGCUGCGUCGGUCUGGCCUACGGACGAUCUCUGUGGGAGUGAUCCAGCCCAUGGCCGGUAAGACUUGCUGACCCCUGGACUACACACUGCUCUCAACACCCCUUGAGAGUCACAAGAGGAACAGCCAUUUUAGAUCUGGUCCUAACCAAUGUUGAUGACCUGGUUAGUGGGGUAGAAGUGGAAGGAUCAUUAGGCGCGAGUGAUCAUGCUCUUCUGAAGUUUACUAUACAGCGGAAAGGAGCAGCCAAGCAUACUAGGACUCAAUUUCUUGACUUUAAGAAAGCUGACUUCAUAAAACUUAGGGAAGCGCUGGGUGAGAUCCCAUGGACAGUAAUACUAAAAGGAAAGGGAGUUCAUGAUGGCUGGGAGUUUGUUAAGAGGGAGAUACUAAAAGCACAACGUCAGGCAAUACCAAUGAGACAGAAACAUGGAAGGUGCCUAAAGAAGCCAGGGUGGCUAUCUAAAGAACUUUUAACUGAGUUAAGAUUAAAAAGGAUGUGUACAAAAAUGGAAAAGGGGGAAACCACCAAAGAGGAAUUCAAACAAAUAGCCAGCACGUGUAGACACAAAGUCAGAAAAGCUAAAGCACAGAAUGAACUCAGGCUUGCUAGAGAGGUUAAAAGCAACAAAAAGGCUUUUAUGGGUAUGUUCGUAGCAAAAGGAAGAACAAAGAAACAGUGGGGUCACUCAGAGGAGAAGAUGGUGAAAUGCAAACAGGGGACACAGAAAGGGCUGAACUCCUCAAUGCCUUCUUUGCCUCAGUCUUCUCCGAUAAAGAAAACAAUGUCCGACCUGAAGAAUUUGGAGCAAAUGAUUCAGCAAAGGAAACACAGCCCAGAAUAACUAAGGAGAUAGUACAAGAAUACUUGGCUAGUUUAGAUGUAUUCAAGUCUCCAGGGCCAGAUGAACUGCAUCCAAGAGUAUUAAAAGAACUGGCAGAUGUGAUCUCAGAACCACUGGCAGUCAUCUUUGAGAAUUCCUGGAGAACAGGCGAAGUCCCGGCAGACUGGAGGAGGGCAAAUGUUGUCCCUAUUUUCAAAAAGGGGAAAAGAGAGGACCCAAAUAAUUACCGCCCAGUCAGUCUGACAUCAAUACCAGGGAAGAUUCUGGAGCAGAUCAUUAAGCAAACAGUCUGUGAGCACCUAGAAAGGAAUGCUGUGAUCACCAAUAGUCAGCAUGGAUUUCUGAAAAAUAAGUCAUGUCAGACUAACCUGAUCUCGUUUUUUGACAGAAUUACAAGCCUGCUAGAUGAAGGGAACGCAGUGGAUGUAGCCUACCUUGAUUUCAGCAAGGCAUUUGACAAGGUGCCUCAUAAUAUUCUUGUAAAGAAGCUGGUAAAAUGUGGUCUUGACUAUGCUACCACUCAGUGGAUUUGUAACUGGCUGACUGACCGAACCCAAAGGGUGCUCAUCAAUGGUUCCUCUUCAUCCUGGAGAAGAGUGACUAGUGGGGUGCCACAGGGUUCUGUCUUGGGCCCGGUCUUAUUCAACAUCUUUAUCAACGACUUGGAUGAUGGACUCAAGGGCAUCCUGAUCAAAUUUGCAGAUGACACCAAAUUGGGAGGGGUGGCUAACACCCCAGAGGACAGGAUCACACUUCAAAACGACCUUGACAGAUUAGAGAACUGGGCCAAAAGAAACAAGAUGAAUUUUAACAGGGAGAAAUGUAAAGUAUUGCACUUGGGCAAAAAAAUGAGAGGCACAAAUACAAGAUGGGGGACACCUGGCUUGAGAGCAGUACAUGUGAAAAGGAUCUAGGAGUCUUGGUUGACCACAAACUUGACAUGAGCCAACAGUGUGACGCGGCAGCUAAAAAGCCAAUGCAAUUCUGGGCUGCAUCAAUAGGAGUAUAGCAUCUAGAUCAAGGGAAGUAAUAGUGCCACUGUAUUCUGCUCUGGUCAGACCUCACCUGGAGUACUGUGUCCAGUUCUGGGCACCACAGUUCAAGAAGGACACUGACAAACUGGAACGUGUCCAGAGGAGGGCAACCAAAAUGGUCAAAGGCCUGGAAACGAUGCCUUAUGAGGAACGGCUAAGAGAGCUGGGCAUGUUUAGCCUGGAGAAGAGGAGGUUAAGGGGUGAUAUGAUAGCCAUGUUCAAAUAUAUAAAAGGAUGUCACAUAGAGGAGGGAGAAAGGUUGUUUUCUGCUGCUCCAGAGAAGCGGACACGGAGCAAUGGAUCCAAAGUACAAGAAAGAAGAUUCCACCUAAACAUUAGGAAGAACUUCCUGACAGUAAGAGCUGUUCGACAGUGGAAUUUGCUGCCAAGGAGUGUGGUGGAGUCUCCUUCUUUGGAGGUCUUUAAGCAGAGGCUUGACAACCAUAUGUCAGGAGUGCUCUGAUGGUGUUUCCUGCUUGGCAGGGGGUUGGACUCGAUGGCCCUUGUGGUCUCUUCCAACUCUAUGAUUCUAUGAUUCUAUGAUUCUAUGAUCUGCUGGAAUAGUAGAGUUAAGAUCUUGGUGGAUGCCAGUGAUUUUGUCCUCAAAGUGCUUUGCAAACAAGUCACAGCCAGCUAUUGCAUGGACAGGCGGAGUCCCCCAACCCCUGGGCAGCCCUGUGUGGAAUAACGACUCAAGACAAGGUACUAUGGGAUUAAAAUUGGCCACAACUUUAUUAUGUUUCAGAUGUGGGCAGACCUUGGCUCAGGCAUUGGGCGUUUAUCUUUCCCAGUCCCCGUCGCGGAUCUGGGUAACAUCAGGGUUAUCCAGAGUGUGUGUGGGGAUGGGCUGGCUCUGGAGAACAUAUGUUCAAGCAGAGAGAGCCUGCCCCCGUUACACCGCCGUCACAGGGCAAUGACAACCUCUAGGCGUACGGCCAAAGCCUCCCCUCAAAACAACCCCUUUAACGGGGAACCCUGGUAUCGCCGCCGCAAAGAGAAGGGGUUGUGUGGGUCACUGUUACACACCCACCCCCAUUUAGGGAAGAUAGACUAAAGGAUUCCGCCCAAGGCCUGAUAUCGCCAAAGUUGUGACGUUUUGCUACGGGAAAGGCAAACCUGCCAAUGCAGGGGAAUUCCUUUCCGGCCCUUCAACAGUGACCCUGACAUAGCAGCAUCCGCGUACCUGUGGAGAAAAGGUUAACCUGCAAAAGAAAUCUUAACUGAGGGUGGGUAGGGUGGGAGAAGCUCUGGAGCCAACUGACGAUUCCCAGGUAAGAUCCUCCCCCUAUUCUGUGGGCAGGGUGGUCCCUCCCCCUACCUACCUUGGCAACGCCUCCCCAGGCGGGAUUGGGCAACUGGCUGAGGUAGGCAGAGACCUCCAGGUAUCCCACCUGGGGGGAGGCGAAGCCAAGCCUGUGCUAAUGGUGCCACAUAGGGUCCCAAGGGCUGUGUGCGACUGCGCAAAGGGCACCCCCCCCCGUUUGAUGUGGGGAGUGGUCAUUGUCAGUUCUACCAUCUCCUUUGGGCCAGACUGUAAGAGGCCCCACACUACCCGGAAGAGCUCUUCUGGAUGGCACAAUGAGGAUGCAACGGAGGCAGCGAAGUAUGCUUUCUUUGCUGCCUUCACCGCCACUAGGUAGGCUUGAUGAUGAGCCCUCACCAGCGUUCAGUUGCAUUCAACUGAAGCUUCCUUUUCAUAUUUUAAAAAACCCUGGAAUAAUUGUUCAGUCCUAAGGGAGAAGAACGUAAUAAGCCUUGCUGCCUGUCCCCGCUCACUUUUUAAACUAGAUAAUUGCUUUCUUAUGCUACUGUCGGGGCUGGUAUGACUUAACUAUUUAGAUAAGGAGCUCGCGGACUGAAAAGGAAAAAAAGAGAAGCCGUCAUUUGGCUCUACAAGUUAUUGCCUCUGCUGAUUAGUUGUAAUGACAGAAACCUCCGACAUUUGCAUAACAAGAGGAAGCUGGCAGUGUUGGGAAGCAGGAGAGAGACUACCUGACUACCUGAACAAAUGCUUUGGGGCAAGGCCUGCCACAAAAAAGCAACAUGGUUUGGGUUUUUUUAAUUAUUAUUUUCCUGUAGUUAUUUUCACAGAGUUCUGGUACAUUUCAGACCAGGGUGUGGGUAUGUAUGUAUGUAUGUAUGUAUGUCACAGAGUACUUCCUUCUUCCUUCUUUUGACCUUGAGAAAUGGUGCAGUUAGAAGCUGCCUAAUUCUGAGCCAAACCACUGGUCCAUCUUAGUACUUAGUACUUGGCUUAGUACUGCUUACAGUGACUGGCAGCUCUUCUCCAGGGUUUCAGGAAAGCGCUCCCCCCCCAGCCCUGCAUGGAGAAGCUGGGGGUUGGAACUGGGACAUUUUACAUGCAGAGCAUGCUCUACCAACUGAGUUAGCCUACAGCCCUUCAAAAAUAAAUCUGAGACAUGAUUUGGGGGAAAUGUAAAGUCCUUAAUUACAUGAUCUACAUUGUCAGAAUCAUGACCAUAGUCAUGAAUAAACCUCCAUCAAAUAAAAUAAAAAAUUUUCUUCCAGUAGUAGCACCUUAGAGAUCAACUAAGUUUGUUAUUGGUAUGAGCUUUCGUGUGCAUGCACACUUCUUCAGAUACUCAUACCAAUAACAAACUUAGUUGGUCUCUAAGGUGCUACUGGAAGGAAUUUUUUUAAAAUUUUGUUUCAACUACGGCAGACCAACACCUGUAACAUCCAUCAAAUGAAAGGUUAACUAUGGUUAUAUUCUCGAGACUUAAAUUAGCUUUGUUUUUAGAUUUGCCCCUAAAAGGGAUGCAAAACCCAGAUAAGCUGCAAUGUACAUCCAGUCUUAUCUUUCCAGAUUCUCACCUGUGCUUACAGCAGAGGUAGAGAACUUGCUGUUGGACUCCAAUGUCCAUCAACCCCAGUCUGCAUGGUCAAUGGUCAGGGAUGAUGGGAAUAUUGGUUGAGCAAGAUCUAGUGGGCCACAGGUUCUCUAUCUCAGAUUUACUGCAUUCAUAAGCAAUUCAACAAAAACAUGAAUUAAGUGUUGAAAUUCAUCUUUUAGCAUCAUGUAUGAAAAGGGACGCGGGUGGCGCUGUGGGUUAAACCACAGAGCCUAGGGCUUUCCGAUCAGAAGGUCGGUGGUUCGAAUCCUCGAGACGGGGUGAGCUCCCGUUGCUUGGUCCCUGCUCUUGCCAACCUAGCAGUUUGAAAGCACGUCAAAGUGCAAGUAGAUAAAUAGGUACCGCUCCAGUGGGAAGGUAAACAGCGUUUCUGUGCGCUGCUCUGGUUCGCCAGAAGCAGCUUAGUCAUGUUGGCCACAUGACCCGAAAGCUGUACGCCGGCUUCUUCCGGCCAGUAAAGCGAGAUGAGCGCCGCAACCCCAGAGUCGGUCAUGACCGGACCUAAUGGUCAGGGGUCCCUUUACCUUUACCUUUAUGAAAAUGCCCACAUAGUCACCGGAAUGCUUCUUGCUGAGAUAACUGCCCUUCCAAACGGAGACCUGCUUCUCAAGUUACUGGUGGUGGUGGUGGUGAGAUGAUUAGCAAUAGAGAUUGGGGAGGGUUGCUAUAAAUGAAAUGGCAAAAUCUAGUCUCAAGUGUUAGAGGUGGAAGAGGGGUAGAGCAAGAAUGAAAGCUGAGGCUGUGAUAUUGUGCCUUCCUCAUUGUAGUUCCACCCCAGUGUGGCAGGAUGCAAUCACAUUAUGCAGUGUGAGCAGGAUUUCUGCCAAUGCACACCUUCAUACUGUGAGUGGAGCUAUAGCUAUGGCCUUCCUGACUUGGCAUCAUCUGUUAUGUUGUAAAAUCUUGCUCAUCAUUUUGUGGGUGGAAUGUGGGUGGCUGAGGAACAAUGGAAAGGACUGCUAAUGCUUACAUCUUGCUCAGUUAUUUGUACCGCAUGAGUGAACCAAACACCAGCACAGUGAGUUCAAGGUCUUACUGCAAUGCCAUAUCCCAUUUCAUAACUGAUACAAGAUGGUUUAAAUUACUGUCUAAACACUAGCAUUUCCACAAGGUAUGUAUUUCAGCAAGUUUCCAUUUCAUCUGGAUGUGUAAGAGUUGGCUUAGUGUCCCAUCAAUUAAGAAUGUCCUUCCUAUAUUAAUACGUCUACCACAAGCUCUUUGACAUGGUGCUCAAGAAAAUUUAUUAGGCCUUUCUGUUUUAGCAAGUACUUCUUUAAGUUAAUUGUGCUGCCACAGAGUUGCUAGAUAGCUCCGAGUUUAAGGGAGAUAAUAUAUUUUAAACCAGAGAUAAGAACCUAUUUCUCUCCAGAUGUUGUUAGACUCUAAUUCCCAUCAGCUGUAGCUCAUUGACAUGUCCAGUGGUCAAGGAUUAUGGGCACUGUUGUCCAACAAAAUCUGGUAGCCAAGGCCUCCCAUCCCUGUUUAAAAACAUUGCCUCCUAUUCUAGAAUAUUGCAGAAUACCACAGUUCCACUGACUGUCAUUGUGGCUUCACAUUUUAGAGUCCCAUGGCUCCAUACAGGACAGUGCACUCAUCCUUUUGGUGUACUGAUGCUUAUGAAAGCUGUUCACCUGUCUAGGUAAAGUAGUAGGGGGAAAGAGCAGAGUGGGCUGGGAAGGGGACAAGAUGGAUCCAUUUUGGUUUGGCCCCAACUCUGGAGGGAUCUUUCCUUAAUGGAUCUAGGGACACUCAAAUUCAGUGUCUGAACUCCACCAUUUUUGGGUCUCACACCCUUCGACUGGUGGAUGCUGACAGGGAUUAUGAGAAAGGUGUCAGGUUGACCUUGCUUAUCUUGGCUUCCUCUUCCAAGUGAUGUUAAUCUUGUGGAGCAAGAAACACAUAGAGACAGGCUCAAGUGUGUUCAAAACUCCUUUGUAUAGUGUAUCAGAAACUGCUCAUGAAUAUUCGCUCAGAAGGCCUACAUAAAGAAAACAGCCUUUCCAAUCAAUUGCCCUGUUCCAUCACUUCAAACCUUAGGAAUGUUGGAGGAUUUCAUGUGAUAUGUUUUUUGUUUGUUUGUUUUUUUAAGCGAAUGAAUCUGAUUUGCACUCCCCAGACUAAUAACACAGAUCAGAACACAGUUAUCCUUCAGGUUUCUUUGCACUUCUCCAGGUUUUGAGCUUCAGGUAUUGGCUCAAAGAAUGUACCAAAACAUUGAUGAAAAUCCAUGUUUUUGGUUCAUACACAUACACGAAUGAGUAAUUUGGGAGAAAAUGAUUUUUUUUUUUUUUUAUAAUUGAUAUUUAUUGAAUUUUCAAAAAAUAACAACAAAAAUUUCCAAAAAAAUAAAUAAAAAAUUUUAGGAUACAAAAAACAAAAAUAGUGCAUAAACAAAAAAGAAAAGAAAACCCAGCCGCAAAGAAAGAAAAAAAAGAGAAACAGAAAAACAAAAAUAUAAAGUCCUUUACAAUCUCUAUUGACUUCCUUUCUAGACUUCCUCCUCCUCCCCUCUUUUGUUUCUUAAUUUUUAAUUUUUACAGCAAAUCUUUUCUGUUUUUUCAUAACAAUCUGUCAUUACGUUUCCUUAUUCUAUUUUCCCUCUUGUCAUAUAAAAACUUUAAAACUUAUAGCUUAUAUUCAAUAUUUACCAAAUUCUUGCAUCAUUACCUUUUUACGAAUCAUUUACCAAUCCUUACUUAAGCCAUGUAAUUUCAUUCAACAUCCUUCAAACAUUUGUAAGCAUUCCCAAUAUUAAAAAUAAAAAAGAAAAAUUAAUAAGUCGAAUUCAGUCCAGUCAGCUUCCAACCUCCCCUCCCCUGGACCCGGGAUUGUCAGUCCUUUUAACCUCCCUUAACCUGGUUGUCUCGUAUCCGAGGCCCUCAAGUCUCUUUCUUGCCCCUUUCGCCACUCUUGUUGAUGAUUCCUUUCCAGUCGUGGAUGCUCCAGCAAGAAAAUGCUUUUGACCCUUUGCAGCAAGUCCAUCCCAAACCCAUUGCCCAAGCCAGACAGCAAAUAAUACCACUUCAAAUUUCCACAAAGCUUGGAGACUUCGGCUACUCCAAUCCUCUGAUAGCCCAUCACCAGACCCGGAAGGUCCAAAUAACCAUAUGGAGGGGGGUCGAUCCAUCCCCCCAUUUCCAAAUCUGACCACAUUUCAUCUUUCCGAAUCUGGUUUGUCCCAAGUUCAUUUAUCAAGUUCAAAGGCUGAUCUUGCCCGUCCAAAGGUCCCUCCAUCUCUGAAGCCUCCGUCACUACAGCAGGUUCAUAUGCUUGUAUAGCCUUUAACUGAAUUUCAUUUGUUUGCUGCUGUGCUCUGGUAACUUCCAUCCUCAAGGUCGUCUCCUGACGCAUCUGGUCCAGCUGGGCACUUAGUUUUGAAAAACCUUCCAGGAACAAUUGUUCAAGCCUUUGUACUAGCAUUGUCCUUCAAGGUCAAAGAAAAUUCUUUCCCACGAGAGUAGUCCAAUAGUCCUUCUCUUUUAAUCUCUCUGCGUUGUAAUUUCACUAAAUUCCACUAGAUGGAAUUUUUUUUUUUAAAGGAAUAAAAGCAACAGCAACAAUCUUUCUUUUUCCAGAAACACUUUAUCCAAAAUUCCCCUUCCAAAUUCAAGAGGCAACAGUAGAAUCAAAAUGUUACCCUUCUUUUAACUAAUUGUCGAGCUGGAUAAACUUCAGAACGUCAAUUCUGACAGCCCGCUCCUGGUUCAGGGCGGUGGAAAAGUGCUUUAUUUUAAACUCACUUCCGCAGGAUUGAAAGGUCCAAAUACAACCCCCUUUUUCUCCUGCUGUCAAAGGGGGGGGUUCAGAAAUCUUAGAUGUUGAAUUCUAGUUCUCUUAAAAUUUAAUUUUCAGGCUUUAGUAUAUUUUGUCUUUGCUUUCUUCACAUAACAAAAGAACGGAAGGCGACUUCCUGUUUAGACCUUCCCAUUCCGAGUCCCAAUUAAGUUCAAUUUCAAGUCCAAUAUUGUUUGUUUAUUCACCGGUCUUAAAAGUGGUUCAGCUCUUCUAAGAUCAGGUACUCACGGAUAGAUGUUUUAGAUGCCAAAUUGUCCAGGAAAAAGGCAGCGCUCUCCGAUAACGGCAGUGCGGCUUUGCUGCACGGAGGAAGCAGACGACUCACAGCACCACGCACCUCCCACUCCGGAGCCCGUUACCGGGCUCCUGUACCAGGGGAGAGAGCGCUCUCGGUGCGCGCCGAGUCCCACGUCCACAGGCUUCUUCCGCCUGUGGUUUUUGCGGGUCCCCGCUGCGCCGUAGCGGCAGGACCCAAGCCUCCGUGCAGCGGGUUCCCUUCAGUCCGAAGGGAAUUCCGCCAUUUUCCGGAGGCGCCACCCCGGAAGUGGGAGAAAAUGAUUUUUUAAAGGCGUAUUCCAUGGGGGGAAAUGUUCAAAAUAAAGCAAAUUCCCAUUCAUUUUUUAAAAGAAAAAUUACAGAUUGAGGCAGAAUUGGAUGGGACUGACUUGUGACUGAAGACCUGUGAAAGUGGUAUGGACCAUAAAUAGACUGAUCUGUCCAUCCCUAUGAGACCCAACCUAAUAUGACCAAAGACGAUAUCAGAAUUAAAUUUAUAAGUGAGUAUAUAUGAUGUUUUAUGAUAAAGAUUAGGCUGUGCACUGGAUUUGACUGAAGCAAGAGGGUUUGAGCUUCGGCGGAGUUGGGUACAGGCAGUCCUGAAUUGUCUGGGUCAAGUUAGGAGUCCCGGUGUGAACUAGGGCUGUCAGUGGGUGUGGCAUCAGGUGGGAAGGCUACAGUCCCCAGCGAGAUGCUCCUUCAUAAGUACUCGCCCCACAGGGAAGGCGCUUGCAAAGCAGCACCCUGCAGGAUUGAACCCUCCUGCUUUCUGUGGUCAGGAAAGGAGAUGAAGCAUUUCCUUCUCCUGUCACCUGCACAACUUUGCAUUUAAUUAUGGUUUAAAAAACCAUAAUUGGACAUUAGACCCGUCCCAUGGUCCUAUUAUUAAUUUAGUAAUUAAAUUUAUGUGGCACCCUUCAUCUGAAGAUCACAGGGAGGUUCACAACAGAAAAAUGCAAAAUGAGAAUACAAAACACACAAUAAAAGGAAAAUGAAAACAAAUCACCAGUAAUAACCCCGUCCCACAAGCACAUUUAAAAAGCCAUAGAAUGUUAAUCAGACAAACACCUGAUUAAAGAGAAACAUUUUUGCCUUGCAUCUAAAGGUAUGUAAUGAAGGUGCCAGGCAAGUCUUCAUGAGGAGAGCAUCCCACAGACAGGGAGCCACUGCAAAGAAGGCCCGUUUUUGUGUUGCCACCCUCUGGACCUUUCAUGGUGGAGGCACAAGAAGAAGGGCUUCAGAUGAUGAUUGCAAGGUCUGGGUUGGUUCAUAUGGUGAGAGAGGCAUUGCAGUCCUGAGCCAUUUAGGUCUCUAUAGGUCAGAACCAGAACUCUGAAUUGGGCCCGGAAACGAAUUGGCAGAAAGUGCAGUUGGGCCAAGACUAACGAAGAAGAACAAAGUUAGCAGAAGGGAUUGCACCCAGGACAUUACAAAUCCAUAGAAAAUAAAAAUAACGUAACAAGAGUCUGGCUCCUGGAUCAAGUCAAUAGCCCAUCUAGCCCCAACACUCUGUUUCCAGUGGUCAGCCAGAUGUCCAUGGGAAGCCUGCAUAAAAGGCCUGAGAGCAACAGCCCCUCUUCCCACUCCAUGUGUUGCUGUGACAAAUGAUGGGGAAUCCUGGGUAAUCUGUUAGUCCUUGUAAGCAGAAUCAAUUAAGCUUGCAAAAGCUAUUUAUAAUUAGCAAUUAUAAAGAAAUCUGCAGGGUCCUAAUUAUAAUGACACAACAAUGAAAACAAGCGGCAGUCUGGGUGCAGGGAAGGAAAAGUUCCAAAACAAGAAGCAAAGCAGAGAGGGCACAUCACCAUUCUUAUAAUGUUUAUCAUGAUGAUAUCACAAAUUGCCAUCUUCCUGUUGUCAGGGUGAUGAUCUCUGGAGAGUUUCUCUAGAUUUAUAUUACAAUGCCGCCACACGACUAGUGGCAUUAUUUAUUGAAACCUAGUGGCAGCAAUAAAUGCUUUCUUUGGACUAUUUAGCAAAAGAAAUGAAAAUAGUUAAGCUGCCUCUGUCUUUGUAUCUGCCACACAUUUAUCAUUAAUUCAUCCUGUCUUUGGGAGUCCAUACUUUUAAUAAAGCAAUUCUGCUAGGGAAUCAUCAAAACUGGGAGAGAGGGGGGAGAUGGAUUGACACCCACUCACCCCUAAAAAUAUGAACAUAUUGGUUUUCUAUUCACCCCAGGCACAAAUACAACAGAAUUGGUGCAAUUACCCCAGCAAUCCGUUUGUUUUGCUUCAUUCAGCUGACAGUGAGGACUGAUCCUUAGCUAGAGGACAGGACAGGGCCAGCCCAUCCACGAGGCAAAGUCAGGCAACUGCCUCAAGCGGCAGGAUCCAUGGGGCAGCUGAUCCAGCCGCCAAGGAAUGCCUUGCCCACCUCUGUUGCAGUCCCACCAUAUGCCAUCUUGACAGCGGCCUCUUGGGGAAUAGUAGUCACUGCUGGCCUCCUCCCAUCCUUGUUCCCAAUGUAGAUCUUCACUCCUGCCUUUUUUCCUGGAUGCGGGGUGGAGGCACCAUUUUGUGGUUUGCCUCAGGUGCCAAAAUGUAUUGGGGCAGUCCUGGGAUGAGGUAUGGCACUGCUGGAGCUCUUUCCCUUGGCUAUGCCUGUGACCAUAAACAUAGGUAAAGGUAAAGGGACCACUAGGGAUGCAGGAGUGAAGAGGCUAAAUUAUGAAAGACACUCUGGCUGCUACUGUUUAAAGAAGAAAGCGAGGCCAUUUUCAAUUAUGCAAGAUAUAAAGGUAAAGGGAACCUGACCAUUAGGUCCAGUCGUGGCCGACUCUGGGGUUGCAGCGCUCAUCUCGCUUUAUUGGCCGAGGGAGCUGGUGUACAGCUUCUGGGUCAUGUGGCCAGCAUGACUAAGCCGCUUCUGGAGAACCAGAGCAGCGCACGGAAACGGCGUUUACCUUCCCGCCGGAGCGGUACCUAUUUAUCUACUUAGACUUUGAUGUGCUUUCGAACUGCUAGAUUGGCAGGAGCAGGGACCGAGCAAUGGGAGCUCACCCCGUUGCGGGGAUUUGAACCACCAACCUUCUGAUCGGCAAGUCCUAGGCUCUGUGGUUUAACCCACAGCGCCACCCACAUCCCAGAACAUAAACACAGUCUUGCAGUAUUCUGUCCCCACCCAAAUACCAGCCACACGUUUGGGGAAACUCGCAAGCAAGACAUGACACAGUCAUAUGAUUGCAAAGCUUGUUCUCCGUAUUUUCAGGACCCUAUUCUUAUUGCUUUAGGACAGUGAUGGCCAAACUCAGCCCUCCAGCUGUUUUGGGACUACAAUUCCCAUCAUCCCUGACCACUGGUCCUGUUAGCUUGGGAUGAUGGGAGUUAUAGUCCCAAAGCAGCUGGAGGGCCAAGUUUGGCCGUCACUGCUUUAGGAUCAUGUUUUGCCACACUUGCCAAUCAACCCACUUUGAUAAUCUUGAAGUUAAGUCACCUGGCUACAGUAACAAACACCUAGGAUAAGACUAAUGUAGUAUGUUGUACAUGGAGCCUCGCUUGAAAAGCACCGAGAUACCGCAACUGUAUGAAAUGAGGUAGUCCGAUUGCUAACUGGGACUGACAGCUGUGAAUAAAUUUUCAGGCUUAAUUAAAGGAACUGUCUUUGGCCUUUUAAUAGGGGAUCUUAACUGAUGGGCAGGUUCAAGGAGAAGAUGGUGGUUCAAAGUGACAAGGGGCUGGGCUGUCUGUAGGACUGUCUUUUCUCACGUGAACCUGCCCACCUAUUUGUUAGGCAGUAGGGUGGCCAUGUGGGACGUGGUUGACGCUGUGGGUUAAACCACAGAGCCUAGGACUUGACAAUCAGGUCGGCAGUUCGAAUCCCCGCGACGGGGUGAGCUCCCGUUGCUCGGUUCCUGCUCCUGCCAACCUAGCAGUUAGAAAGAAUGUCAAAGUGCAAGUAGAUAAAUAAGUACUGCUUCAGUGGGAAGGUAAAUGGUGUUUCCGUGUGCUGCUCUGGUUUGCCAAAAGGGCUCAGUCAUGCUGACCACAUGACCCGGAAGCUGUACCCUCCCUCGGCCAAUAAAGCGAGAUGAGCGCCGCAACCCCAGAGUCGGCCACGACUGGACCUAAUGUUCAGGGGUCCCUUUACCUUUAGGGUGGCCAUAUCUACAAGGAUAGUCUUCUAUUUGAAUGACAGACAGAGGAGAGGCCUCUCUUUGAAGGGCUGUUGGGACUAAGCCUGGCUUAAUAUCUGAAAGACUACACAGAUAACAUUUGAGAUGAAAAGAAAGGAAGUAUUACAAAUGUUAUUUAUAAUAAAGUGACCAUACCAAGGAUUGCGACACACAUACACACCACUUUUAGUGCCUCACAAAUAGUCGUUUUAGUAAUAUUUCAGUAUCAUUUAUUAGAGUGUUUAAUAAGCUUGGGGGAUAGAUAUCAAGUGCGAGGGAGGAUGAGAAUUAACUACUAUGCAAGCAGCAGAGGAGGAAAUAAUUACAGUCUUCGUAGGGGAAGAGGUCUGGAAAAAUAAAGAGCUCUCUGGGAGGCUUUUACUUGUUACGUUCGCUGUUCAUAAAAAUGCAGACGUUGUUUCCAAUGAGAUGCUUUGGAACUGGAAUGGAACAGAGAAAUAAUUCACAAGGGCUUUUAAGGCUUUAAUUAUAUCACGGUUAGGUGCUGUAGGUAGGCUCCAGUGGAUAAAGCAAAUUAAAGCAGCCACACUGGUGGGAAGUUUUCUUCUCUUUAAGUUGUUACCUUGGCUGGAAUUAUGGGUGGUGUCCAAAAUUAGUUGUGCUCAUAAGAAUCAUUGCACUGCCCUGUUUUAUUAAUGCUUUAUUGAUGGAUAUUAUUAUUCUUGAUGUACUCCUUUGUGUUCUUGAUUAUAGUGCUGUUGCAUAGAUUUCUUAUGAUCUUAUUGUGUCCUGAAUAAGCAUCUCCACCCCCAUCGUUCAGCCCGGACACUGAGGUCUGGCGCCGAGGGCCUUCUGGUGGUUCCCUCCCUGUGAGAAGUGAAGCUACAGGGAACGAGGCAGAGGGCCUUCUCGGUGGUGGCACCCGCCCUGUGGAAGACCCUCCCAUCAGAUGUCAAGGAAAUAAACAACUAUCUGCGUUUUAGAAGACAUCUGAAGGCAGCCCUGUUUCGGGAAGUUUUAAAUGUUUGAUGUUUUAGAGUGUUUUAAUAUUCUGUUGAGAGCUGCCCAGAGUGGCUGGGGAAACCCAGCCAGAGGGGCAAGGUAUAAAUAAAUUAUUAUUAUUAUUAUUAUUAUUAUUAUUAUUAUUAUUUGCAAACUUCUUUGGGUCUCACGCAUUAAACGGCAUAGAGGAGUUAUUAGUGUGUUGUUGUUGUUUUUAAAAAAUGCUCAGUAGAUCCAUUGAAAUUAAUGACUAAAUCAGG